GUGACAUGUACGGAGAACAAGGACGAUACUUCGAACGGGAAGAUCUUCCAAAAAUGCGUCACACUCGUAUGGGAAUUGUUUCAUUUGUGAACAAUGGAGAUAAUAUGCUCGGAAGUCAAUUCUUUAUUACACUUGGAGAGAAUCUUGACUAUUUGGAUGAUCAACACACUAUUUUUGGACAAGUUACUGAAGGUCUUGAAACACUGGAGAAGCUCAAUGAACAGUUAGCAGACACUAACAAUCGACCGUUUAAGGAUAUUCG
rnacentral:sRNA from 1 species